CACGUAGGGGGCAAGCGUUGUCCGGAUUUAUUGGGCGUAAAGAGCUCGUAGGUGGCUCGGUAAGUCGGGUGUGAAAUUUCGAGGCUCAACCUCGAAACGCCACCUGAUACUGCUGUGGCUUGAGUCCGGUAGGGGAGCGUGGAAUUCCUGGUGUAGCGGUGAAAUGCGCAGAUAUCAGGAGGAACACCAGCGGCGAAGGCGGUUCUCUGGAACGCAACUGACGCUGAGACGCGAAAGCGUGGGGAGCAAACAGG
rnacentral:rRNA from 1 species